rnacentral:rRNA from 1 species
UACGUAGGGGGCAAGCGUUGUCCGGAUUUAUUGGGCGUAAAGAGCGUGUAGGCGGCCUGGAAGGUCAGCUGUGAAAACUCGAGGCUCAACCUCGAGACGUCGGUUGAAACCACCUGGCUAGAGUCCGGAAGAGGAGAGUGGAAUUCCCGGUGUAGCGGUGAAAUGCGCAGAUAUCGGGAAGAACACCCGUGGCGAAGGCGGCUCUCUGGGACGGUACUGACGCUGAGGAGCGAAAGCGUGGGGAGCGAACAGG